UUACUGAUGAAGAGUCCCAUACUAGGACGAAACAGAUGUCCAGUAC
rnacentral:hammerhead_ribozyme from 1 species